rnacentral:rRNA from 1 species
UACGGAGGAUCCAAGCGUUAUCCGGAAUCAUUGGGUUUAAAGGGUCCGUAGGCGGUCAGGUAAGUCAAUGGUGAAAGCCCAUCGCUCAACGGUGGAACGGCCAUUGAUACAGUCUGACUUGAAUUAUUAGGAAGUAACUAGAAUAUGUAGUGUAGCGGUGAAAUGCUUAGAGAUUACAUGGAAUACCAAUUGCGAAGGCAGGUUACUACUAAUUGAUUGACGCUGAUGGACGAAAGCGUGGGUAGCGAACAGG